rnacentral:rRNA from 1 species
UACGUAGGGGGCAAGCGUUGUCCGGAAUUAUUGGGCGUAAAGAGCGUGUAGGCGGUCCGGUAAGUCAGCUGUGAAAGUCAAGGGCUCAACCCUUGAAUGCCGGUUGAUACUGUCGGGCUAGAGUCCGGAAGAGGCGAGUGGAAUUCCCGGUGUAGCGGUGAAAUGCGCAGAUAUCGGGAGGAACACCAAUGGCGAAGGCGGCUCUCUGGGGUAUUUCUGACGCUGAGGCACGAAAGCCAGGGGAGCGAACGGG